UAAGGAAUAUUGGACAAUGGGGGCAACCCUGAUCCAGCCAUGCCGCGUGAAGGAUGAAGGCCCUAUGGGUCGUAAACUUCUUUUACAGGGGACAAAUAUCUUGCUCGUGAGCAGGAUUGAUGGUACUCUGAGAAUAAGGGUCGGCUAACUUCGUGCCAGCAGCCGCGGUAAUACGAAGGACCCGAGCGUUAUCCGGAUUUAUUGGGUUUAAAGGGUGCGUAGGCGGACACGCAAGUCAGUGGUGAAAUCCCUCAGCUUAACUGAGGAACUGCCAUUGAAACUAUGUGUCUUGAGUACAUUUGAGGCGGGCGGAAUGUGUCAUGUAGAGGUGAAAUUCUUAGAUAUGACACAGAACACCAAUUGCGAAGGCAGCUCGCUAAACUGUAACUGACGCUGAGGCACGAAAGCGUGGGGAUCAAACAG
rnacentral:rRNA from 1 species